AAGAAGUCAGGCCAGAUUAAGCCAUAGUACGGUAAGAGCUAUGCUGCCUGUGAGCCCCGUCCAAGGACGCAAAAUGAAGUCAGGCCGAAAGCCACGGCUUGAGCAAACCGUGCUGCCUGUAGCUCCAUCGUGGGGAUGUAAAAACCUGGGAG
rnacentral:lncRNA from 1 species